CUUAUUUUUUAGAAAUGCCAAUAUUAUUGCUUAAGUCUUAAAGAAAUACAAAUAGUUUGACUGCCUUUAAAAAUCACACAAGAUUUCUAGUUUAGCAAUAUUGAAAUACAAAGGCAAUCAAAGCAGGAAAUAGUUCAUUUUUAAUUUCACUCCAUUUUGAAUUAUGUUUACAGAGCGUCCAGCUCCAAUUCCGUCUCCCAACUCCCCCCCCCCCUCCCA